rnacentral:sRNA from 1 species
CCAAACGUCAUUGGGGAGUAGCCGCCUUCGCAUCCAGAAGGGGGCGCGUCAACAAACUUGGGCAACGCCGCUUGGCUUGCCCAUGGCGCGUCCGGCCCAUCGGGCAUGGCAAGACCUUUGGCUUCGACCGUCACCCAGGGGGCUGGGCGGGACGGCGAGCCAUAGGUUGCGUCCGUCCGGCCCCAUUUGGUAU